rnacentral:rRNA from 1 species
CCUACGGGUGGCAGCAGUCGAGAAUUUUUCUCAAUGGGGGAAACCCUGAAGGAGCGACGCCGCGUGGGGGAUGAAUGGCUUCGGCCCGUAAACCCCUGUCAUUUGCGAACAAACCUUCCGUGUUAAUAGCACGGGAGCUGAUUGUAGCAGAAGAGGAAGGGACGGCUAACUCUGUGCCAGCAGCCGCGGUAAUACAGAGGUCCCAAGCGUUGUUCGGAUUCACUGGGCGUAAAGGGUGCGUAGGUGGUGAGGUAAGUUUGACGUGAAAGCUCCGAGCUUAACUCGGAAAUUGCGUUGAAUACUAUCUUGCUAGAGGGUUGUAGGGGGGACUGGAAUUCUCGGUGUAGCAGUGAAAUGCGUAGAUAUCGAGAGGAACACCAGUGGCGAAGGCGAGUCCCUGGACAACUCCUGACACUGAGGCACGAAAGCUAGGGGAGCAAACAGGAUUAGAUACCCUUGUAGUC